GAUGAAGAACGUAGCGAAAUGCGAUAAGUAAUGUGAAUUGCAGAAUUCAGUGAAUCAUCGAAUCUUUGAACGCACAUUGCGCCCGCCAGUAUUCUGGCGAGCAUGCCUGUUCGAGCGUCAUUUCAACCCUCAGGCCCCCAGUGCCUGGUGUUGGGGAUCGGCAGCAGGGCGUCAAGCCCGCCGGCCCCGAAAUCUAGUGGCGGUCUCGCUGUAGUCCUCCUCUGCGUAGUAGCACAACCUCGCAGUUGGAACGCGGCGGUGGCCAUGCCGUUAAACACCCCACUUCUGAAAGUUGACCUCGGAUCAGGUAGGAGUACCCGCUGAACUUAAGCAUAUCAAUAAGCGGAGGA
rnacentral:misc_RNA from 1 species